rnacentral:rRNA from 1 species
CCUACGGGUGGCAGCAGUGAGGAAUAUUGGUCAAUGGACGAGAGUCUGAACCAGCCAAGUAGCGUGAAGGAUGAAUGCCCUAUGGGUUGUAAACUUCUUUUAUGUGGGAAUAAAGUGGUACACGGGUGGGAGUUUGUAUGUACCGUAUGAAUAAGGAUCGGCUAACUCCGUGCCAGCAGCCGCGGUAAUGCGGAGGGUCCGAGCGUUGUCCGGAUUGAUUGGGUUUAAAGGAAGCGUAGGUGGGUUGUUAAGUCAGUUGUGAAAGUUUGCGGCUCAACCGUAAAAUUGCAGUUGAAACUGGCAGUCUUGAGUACAGUAGAGGGGGGCGGAACUCGUGGUGUAGCGGUGAAAUGCUUAGAUAUCAGGAAGAACUCCGAUUGCGAAGGCAGCUCACUGGCCUGCAACUGACACUGAGGCUCGAAAGUGUGGGUAUCGAACAGGAUUAGAUACCCUAGUAGUC